GCGUAUGCAACCUACCACAUACACCUGGAUAGCUCCCGGAAACGGGGAUUAAUAUGGGAUGGUACAGGGGACCUGCAUGGGUUUUUUGUUAAAGAUUUAUCGGUAUGUGAUGGGCAUGCGUAGGAUUAGCUAGUUGGUGGUGUAACGGACCACCAAGGCGAUGAUCCUUAGGGGUUCUGAGAGGACGGUCCCCCACACUGGUACUGAGAUACGGACCAGACUCCUACGGGAGGCAGCAGUAGGGAAUAUUGGUCAAUGGGCGAGAGUUUGAACCAGCCAUGCCGCGUGCAGGAAGAAGGCCUUCUGGGUUGUAAACUGCUUUUGCACGGGAAGAAAACGGCCAUGCGUGGCCAAUUGACGGUACCGUGCGAAUAAGCACCGGCUAACUCCGUGCCAGCAGCCGCGGUAAUACGGAGGGUGCAAGCGUUGUCCGGAUUUAUUGGGUUUAAAGGGUGCGUAGGUGGGCCUUUAAGUCAGUGGUGAAAUCCUUCCGCACAACGGGAGAACUGCCAUUGAUACUGAGGGCCUUGAGUAUGGUCGAGGUAAGCGGAAUUUAUGGUGUAGCGGUGAAAUGCAUAGAUACCAUAAGGGACACCGAUAGCGAAGGCAGCUUACUGGGCCAUUACUGACACUGAGGCACGAAAGCGUGGGGAGCAAACAGGAUUAGAUACCCUGGUAGUCCAC
rnacentral:rRNA from 1 species